rnacentral:snoRNA from 1 species
CGAUGACCGUUCCUCUCACUGCCACAAGCCUUGGGCAGUGGGAUUUUGUGUCAUCGUAGAUAAAGCCUGGCCUUUCUUCACUCAGGGUGCCCUUGGAUGGGUUUGGCUGUCCGUUAGCACCUUCUGAACUUUGUGGGGUCAGACAUUC